rnacentral:miRNA from 1 species
UUCCAUCUUCCUGUGACAUGA